AUGAAGGAUUCAGUAAUUAUGUUAGGCUCACAAGUGACCAUUGAGUUUGCCCCUGUACUGCUUCCCAGCUUUUGUGGUGUUAAACUUUUCUGUUCUUCCAAUAGGGAGAUACAUAAUCAAAAUACACACGAAAACAAGAUAGCAGGCACUCAGUUCUAGGCCAGUUUCUCAGUUUCCUUUGGGCCUGCCUUUAUUUUGAUAGUCGCAGAAUGCAAGUUCAGAUGCGAUCCGGUGCAUUCUGGGUGGUAUCCCCAUAGACAGAAUACAAGUUCAAGACUCAUUUUUAUGUCCAUUUUUAUAGUGGUAGACUGUAUGUAAUAGACCAGAUGGUUCAUUCCAAAUACAUGACUUGGUCUUAGUGCCAUAUAUGAAGGAAGUUUGAAAAUGUAAUGGGGACAAAAGCCGUGCGUGACUUCGGUAUACCCAGACUUCAUUCAGAUUUCUUAAAAAUCUGCUAGGGAUGUCUGUUGACCAGACGUUGGAAAACCUUUGGUGUCAGGGAGAGUAGAGGAGAAGUUCUGAUUUUCAUAACCCUGGUUUCUUAUCUAGGCCUGUUUCCUUGCGUGAAAAUAUACAUCAUCAAGUAAUUUGUAGUACAAAGAACAAGAGAAGAAACCCUAAGAAGAUAGCUUAUUUGUUAUCCUCCCUCUUAAUGACUAACCUUAAUCCAAAUGAAUCCACUGAGAACCAGCCUGUGGAUGCCUACUGGGCUUUCACCCUGGACCAGGAAUUUUUGACGUAUGCCUGUGUUGAAGGCACUGGAUGCUUGUUUUGUGGAAGACAUGUUCAUUGAGAGACGGUGUCUGGCUUUGUCACGCAAGCUGGAGUUUGGUGGUGUGAUUGCAGCUCACUGCAGCCUUAAACAACUGGGCUAGGUGAUCCUCCCAUCUCAGCCUUCCAAGUAGCUGGGACUACCGGUGCACACCACCAUGCCUGGCUGUUUUUAAUACGGGGUUUUGCUGAGUUGCUCAGGCGCUCCUCAAACUGCUGGCCUCAAGUGAUCCUCCAGCCUGGGCCUCUCAAACAUAAAUAGGCUGGGCGUGGUGGCUCACGUCUGUAAAGAUUUAAAGCGGAAAAGCGGAAUGCAGUGAAAUAGCAUGAGAAAGAGCGUUUUUAUGUACAUCACAGACAAGCCUUGUUCUGCUGAAGAGGUGAUGCCACGAGGUGGGGAGGAGCUCACUUCAGGCACCACUCCCACUUCCAUUGCCCGCAAAUCCAGGAAAGAAAUGACUAAUGAACUCUAGUGAUCGCAAACUGCUCAAUCAGUACUCAUCAAUUUAAAAUGACUGUUCAGCCUUGCUGCACACUAAACUCAUCUGUAGAACUUUAUAAAACCACGGAUGACCAUCACACUGGCAGGAUUUUAGAUUCAGAAUUGGGGUGGGGCCUGGAGCUUUGUUUUCUGAAACUUUGCGGGCCAUUCUGAACCUGCAGCCAGGCAGGACUCUGGCAAGAAGAGGCGUGUGGCUAAUAUGAUGGAAGUCUGAAUCCAAGGACUUUUUUUUUUUUGGAGACAGUCUUGCUUUGUCUCCCAGGUUGGUGUGCAGGGGUGUGAUCUCGGCUCACUGCAACCUCCAUUUCCCAGAUUCAAGCGAUUCUCGUGCCUCAGCCUUUCAAGUAGCUGGGAUUACAGGUGCACACCACCACACCCAGCUAAUAGUAUUUUUGAUAGAGAUGGGGUUUCGCCAUGUUGGCCAGGCUGGUCUUGAACUCCCGACUUCAAGCUAUCCACCUGCCUCGGCCUCCCAAAGUGCUGGGAUUACAGGCGUGAGCUACUGCACCCAGCCCCAAGAACAUCUUGAAAUGGAGUUUGAUUACCAAAGUUUACAUAGAGUAAUGGAUAAUUAAAAUUUACAAUUUAUGGUGCAUUACAAAAUGUUAUAAACAAGCCUCCGGGAAAGGCAGAAAUUGCCAGAUGUAAGUAUAUAAAACUUAACACAAUUU